GAAACUUUUCGGAGCUGUCAAUCAGGGCCCAAUCAGCUGACUGUCAGCUGGGACGGGCUGGCUUAACCCUUCCUGCGCCGCUGCCUACCCGGGAGGGAACGAGGCCCGGCGCAAAGUUUGGUGUAAGAGGGGAAGGAGUUUUUCCAGAGGGGCUUCGGCAAUCCGGGCGGACCUGGGAGGGCGGUUUGCUUUUCUUUGGAGCGCGAGACAGGCCUCCCAUCCGGAGCCCCAGCUCGCUGGGGGCUCACUCGGCUGGGAUUGGCCUGAUUCCCCUCCCCUGCCUGCCCUCCACCCCCAGGAUUGUGAAUUCGCCUCCCAGCUUUUCCUCCUCGCACCAACUCUGGUACCCAGGUGUCUGCCGGGGACCUUCCUUCCCUGAGCCUGGCCGUGCCCGGCGCUCAAACUUGGCCCCAACUCUUUGUCCGUCUCUCGGGCGCCCGUGCGGGGAAGGGACCGGGAAGGGAGGGAUGCAGUGGGGUGUCCGGAUCGGGGCUGCGGGCUGGGCGCCGCCCGGCCAUGCGCCUGCCCAGAAGGCUGGGCAUCCGUGGAGAGGGAAAGCCCAUUUUAUCCCUCUCUUUACAACGAGGUAAAAUAAGUUGUUUAGAGGCCAUUCUUCACGGAGACCGGCUGCCCGCUGGCGUCGCGUGCCCUUGGACAGAGCGAGCGCCUAUGCGAGAUAACUCCGGGGAAGCUCAAAGUCAGGUCAGCCGGGCUCAGCCUUCCGGCUCCUGACUGGCCGGAGUUUGGCCUUUGAGACUCAUAUUGCGCGCUCGCUCUCUCUCUCUCUUACACACACACACACAAACACACACACACUCACACUCACCCGUCCCCUUACGAAAUCUGACCUCUGUUUAUCAGGGUCAGGCGCGCCCUUUGCACUUUUACGUUUCCUUUAAUUAUUUCGGACUUGAUCGUGGCAGGGAGCAAGGGGGAAAAACAAUACCCCAGCCCUCACCAGCUACCCUCGAAGGGUUAAAUUUUAAACCGCGGUUUCUGGAACUAGUCCGGAAACGCAGAGUGGGGGGUGGGGUGGGGGAGGCUGCUCCCCCCACCCCCAGUUGCAAAUGCUAAUAAGUAGUUCAAAUUUCUAGAUUGAUUCUCUAAAAGUUUAUGCAAAAAAGAAAUAAAAAAGAAAAAGAAAAAAGAAGGAAACCAACAACUAACUCUGUUUCUAAGAUUUUAAAGCGAUAGGCAAGUCGAAGAAGCAGAGAUUUAUUUGGAGAGAAAGCUCCUGAAACCGACCCAGCCUUUGGAAGACCAGCCCGUCUGCUUAGAAGUUGGGACUGUUGAUUCCUUCAAUUAAUGAAAUGCAUUUGGUGUUUUUAAUCGUAUUUAUUUUACUUUAUGAGAAGGGGGAGACGCUAGGAGGGUGCAUUAAAAAAAAAAAAAAAUUCUGAAAAGCCUGCAAAAGGAUCGAAGAGUGGAAACUAUUGUUGGAGCGAGUUGGUUUUUACCUCAACAGCGCCACCUUUCGGCAAAGGUUUCUUCCUUGGAAAACAAUAUACAUCACUUAAUGAAAUCUUUGUUUGUUUUGCACAAGAGAUGUAAAAAAUCCAGAUGUUUUCUUCAGUGAGAAUUCCUGGGAAGGUGUACCAGCCUUCUUCUCUUUCUUCACCUGACAAAGACACCCAACACGGCCUCUCAGACCGGAGGUGUUUAAUAUAUAGUUUUGACACGCAUGAACAUGGGAAUGAAAGGGCUCCUUUUGGUUUUAGACAAUAGACAGAGCUAUAAAAUGAUGAUGGAGCCUGUUUUCCCCACUCUUGUCAUUUUAAGUCAAUAGAUUUCCUGGGUUUCUUCCCCCGCCCCCCCACUUUGCCUUUUCAGGGGAUAGGCAUCUCCUUAGAUUUUUGUUUUUCUUCACUUAGGGUCAGCUUUAUGAUUCGUUCUUCUGCUGUCAUCCUUUUUCAUCCUAUUCACAGCCUGUACCGGUGAGGGAAUUUGUCUCAAAAGCAUUCAGCCCUUCAAAGAUUUUUAUUGUGGUGAACUCAGAACUGAUAAACAGAAAAACAGAAACAGAAAAAGGGAACUGAUAUGGGGGCGAUCUUGAUGCGGGUUGUGUCUCUCAUGCAUGAUAACUCAGAGGACAGGCUCCUCGGUAGUGCGGUAGUGCUAACUCUGUGAAGUUUCUUCACCCUCCUUCCUAGCCCUGGAGGCGGGGUGAUUCAUAGCUCCUGUUCCAAAGGCAUUCAGCAGCCAUUCGACCUGGGAAAGAAACAGAGUUUUAGAAAAUACAGGCCAAAUGUAGAGACGCCUGUGAUUACCAGGAUGAGUAUGUCAGUGCAGGUGGCUUCUGAAUUUCUGUUUCUGAGUUUGUUUGGCUGAUGCCUAAGGAAAGGGGUCCCUUACAGCCCUGUUUUAUACCUUAGUUCUUGGUGGCAACGUGGGUGUUGCUGAUCUCUCUGAUGUGUUUUUCUGUGCACUGAAAACACCAGACAUGCUCCGUGACAUCCUCGGAGCAUCUCCCAUCAUAAUGGAGUGUUCCUAACCUGACAAAGAAUAGCAUAUUACCUCCCCAUCUACUCAAAAUAAAAUUAUAGUAAAAUUUAUCGCCCUUCUGCUAAUAUUUUUUAUUUAGUAACUUUAUAACAGUGAUACAUACUCCUUAUUAAAUAUAAACAUUUGAACAGGACA
rnacentral:lncRNA from 10 species